rnacentral:rRNA from 1 species
UAAGAGGUCCCGCCUGCCCUGUGACACUAGUUUAACGGCCGCGGUAUUUUGACCGUGCAAAGGUAGCGCAAUCACUUGUCUCUUAAAUGGAGACCCGUAUGAAUGGCAUAACGAGGGCUCAACUGUCUCCUUUUUCCAGUCAAUGAAAUUGAUCCCCCCGUGCAGAAGCGGGGAUAUGAACAUAAGACGAGAAGACCCUAUGGAGCUUUAGACAACAAACAGACUAUGUAAAAAACCAAUAAAAGAUAAAACAAAUUAGCACCUGUUCAAAUGUCUUCGGUUGGGGCGACCGCGGGGAAAAAACUAACCCCCACGUGGAAAGAGAGAAUGCUCUUAUAACCCAGAUAAACACAUCCAAGCACCAGAACAUCUGACCAAAAAUGAUCCGGUAAUACCGAUUAACGAACCAAGUUACCCUAGGGAUAACAGCGCAAUCCUCUCUUAGAGUCCAUAUCGACGAGGGGGUUUACGACCUCGAUGUUGGAUCAGGACAUCCUAAUGGUGCAACCGCUAUUAAGGGUUCGUUUGUUCAACG